AUGCGCCGGAACAAAGAUCCGGCGCCCAUGGAGAAGCAGUCCGUCAGAGAAGCGCCAAGGCUCCUCCAGGUCACCGGCCGUGAGUUGCUGCUGAAGAAGGACGGCGUCGUCGGCCAUCGCAGUUGCGCGGCGAAUGUCGUCGAAGAGACCGAACAUCGGCCCGGAGCGGAUGCACAGGGCCGCCCCGGCAGACUCGUCGGCGGAGGGAGCGAGGUCGGAGUCGCGACGGGACAACGCAUCGGCCACGGUGUUAAGGCGGCCCGGCCGAUACUCGACGGAGAAGUUGAAGCCGAAGAGCUUGCUGAUCCACUGGUGCUGCGGCACGGUCGACAGCCGUUGGUCCAGCAAGAACUUCAGGCAGUAGUGGUCCGUGCGAAUGUGGAAGGACCGUCCCCACAAGUACGGCCGCCAAUGACGAACGGCCUGGACAAGGCCAAUGAGCUCCCGCUCGUAUGCCGCCAGCUUAAGAUGGCGCGGAGCAAAAGGCUGGCUGAAGAAGGCGAGGGGCCCAUCGCCCUGAUGAAGCACGGCGCCGAAACCUGCGACCGAGGCGUCACAGUCCACCACGAACGGGCGGUCGAAGUCGGGCAUCUGGAGGACGGGGCCCGUCGUGAGGGCCCCCUUGAGGGCCUCGAACGCCGUCAUCGCCUCGUCGUCCCAGGCGAAAGCGUCGCGGCAAAGCAACCGCGUGAGGGGCGCCGCGAUGAGCCCGAACUCCCGGAUAAAUUUUUGGUAGUAGCCGGCGAGGCCAAGGAACCCACGGAGAGCCCGCGGCGAGUGAGGCGUCGGCCAUGCGGAGACGACCGCCACCUUGUCGGCGUCCAUAGCCACCCCGUCGGCCGAGAUGACAUGGCCGAGGUAGGCGACGGUAGGUGUCCCGAACGAGCACUUCGAGCGCUUAAGGUGGAGGUGGUGUGCCCGAAGCUCGUUGAAGACGAUGGCGACGUGCUGGAGGUGCUCGGCCCAGGUGGCGCUGUAGAUAAGAAUGUCAUCAAAGAAAACAAGCACAAACCGCCGUAA
rnacentral:rRNA from 1 species